GUCGCAUCGUGUCGCGUUGACGACAAGAUAAAAAGAAACUGUUUACGAACGAACGAGCGAAAAGGGGUGCGGCCCGCUGCAUCGGCCAUCGCGCUGCUUCUCGAUAAUUAAAUGUUAGAUAGCUAGGCGAGACAGCGAAAUAUGAAACGGUGUUUUAUCGGUCGGUCGUGGCACGUUUACAUCGGUUAUAUAGUCUCCUUUUCUAAUCAUAAAGAUAUGUCCUUAGAGAGGUUUUAAAAUAUUUUACGCUUUUAUUUUAAACUUCUGAACGCACGAAUCCUAUAAAAUCACAUAAUUGAGUCAAACGCGAGUGAUUAUCGACAUGGCAAUCAACGCGACGGAUUUCUUUCGCGAGUUUGACAUUUUCUCGUUGAAUAUUUUGUGCGAAAUUGAAAAAAUUAAGAGCAAAGAAAGUGAUACAAAUUUGCACGCAAUAACACGACUUUCGUGAACGAUAAAAGCGCGUAGGUAAUGAAAGUUUGAUUUAAUUUAUAACCCCACCGCGAAUGAGAAAAAUGCCAUCUUCUGACUUUUCACGUAAAGUUGUUUAUAUUUGACCGAAAGUUGAGUCGUUGUUUGUUGGUUGGCAGGAGCACGAGAUACAAGUGUACCAAGAUACAGUACAUACAAUGGAAAUUUAAUAAACAAAGCGGAAAAAAGCAAUAUGACCGUUUUCGCUAUCAACGGAAUUUCAUUGGUAAAUUAAGGAUCUCUUAAUUAGGGAAGAAUGGAAGGCAACGGAGCAUAAAGCUGUCGAGCAAGCACAAUUUCUCUGGGCGAUAUUAAAACGACGCCUAAUAUCCUGGACGGCUUGAUAUUAAGAGGAUGACGAAGGUGAAUCCCAAAGGAAAGCUGAAAUGGGGUGAAGAAAGGGAUCGUAAGCCGCUUACGGUUUCACGAUGUCACGAAACGAACGAGCCACCAACUGCUUGUCGUUUUAGCAGCACGCAUAAACCGCACUCUACGUGGUUAGGAUUUACAGACCUAGAAGAUUCUUGAAAUUAGACCAGCCCGCGUAUAUGCCUUCCAUGAUGCACGGAUUAACUUGUUUUCCUACAAACAUAAAUUUCCUCCAAAUUGCCAAAGUUGGCAAAUAAGUGAUUGAGGAUUUUGUCAAUAUCACCUA